UAGAACAUAAGUAAAACAUAUAGUGCCACUGGUGAAAGACUGCGUAAAAUCUGUAAAGGAAUCAUCAAUCUCAGGAGUACACAAAUAAAACAUCUUGAAUUCAACUACCUGAUUUUUCACACUAGGCUAAAAAUUUGAUAUACAAGAAUUUUUAAAAAAUUCGGUAUAUCAUAAUUAAAAAAAAAAAUCGGAAAUUUCCUACUCUUUAAAGAUAUGAUAGAAUUUUG
rnacentral:lncRNA from 1 species